rnacentral:lncRNA from 1 species
GCGGUUGCCGGGGCGACUGGAACGCAACAUGGCGGCCUGAGGGCAGCGGUGCCGGCCCGGGCCCGGCCCUCGCCCGCCAGCCCCGGCACCGGCGGGACGGCGCGGAAGGCACAUCUGCCUCUUUGACUACAACAAGUUCAGUGAUGACAACCCUGACUCCCUUUCACUGGUAUCUGAAUUUUUGGCCCUGACUAUUUAUGAGCUGAUAAAAGUACAGAAAUGGGAUAUUUCAGAGCAACAAGAAAACAUAAUAAUAAAGUUUCCAGCCUCUUUUUCUUGGAUGUAAUGAGCUGGACCACAUCUCAAAAAUCCAUGAAGUGAUAGGCACUCCUGGUAACAAAACUCCAAAAUUUCAAGCACUUGCUUAACACAGGUCAAGAAUUUUGAGUUUUGAAUCCUCCCUUUAAAGAAAGGAAAAGGAAAGUCUUCUCUUGUGCACAAAUUAAAGGUUUCUAUUUCCUGUGUGCAAUGAUAAAAUAUGACCCCAAUGAGAGAACUGCUGCCCAUCAAACCUUAAAGCACCUUUAUUUUCAAGAACUCUGGCAAGUGACUUCAAAUCACUUCAGUUUUGAAGACUAAAGUCAAAAGGUGGAUCUUACUCAGUUUGGCACAUACAAUACUUCAAGGAUAUUGAUUUCCUAACAAGUUCUUUGCUGUUAAACCUCUGGAGACAACUUACACUUCUCUGGCUGUUGGAUGAAUAGGCAAACUUGUGUUUCCCAUCUGCUUUAUAGUUAAAAUACACCCAAACUUUAAACUACAAACUGGCAAGGAUGGUCCCACCCUCAUUCUUCCAGCUAAAAUUCCAUACUGAGAUUAUCUGUGUUCCGCUUACUUUUAAUUAUUUUUUUUAAUGUAGUAGGAAAAAUAUUUUAUUAAAAGUUGCAUCUACAGUAGAGUUCGUAAGUUCCUUCCAGGUAAGUUAUUAGUACCCUGUUUCUUACUAAAAUAAUUUUUUUUCCAUAUAGAACAGAGUGUGGUAUGGACAAUUUAAGCUUCUAGGUGAUUGCCCUAAUAGUAAAGAAGAGGCUGAAAAAAGAAAACCCACACACAUUCCUUGUGUGCUGCUGGACUACAAUUUGUGGCAGGGACAUACCCUGCCAACAUGGAUGUGAGUAGCUGCUGUUGUUCCCCUGAUGCUGGAUAUUGCAAUUCUUCCCCUACUGGUUUGUAUUUUUCCAGCUGAAGGAAAAAAAAGUCUUUUAAAAAGUUACUGCAUAUUUUUUCAGCUAUGUUAUUUUGACUCAGACCAUAUGAAGCACUUAUAUAGAAGUCGUCUACGGGGAGAUAACUACAUGAGUUUUCAGUGAUGAGGUUUAUCUGUAUUUUAACAGUUAAACCCACUAUGUUAAUAAAACAAAACUUCUGAAAAAUAA